rnacentral:lncRNA from 1 species
UAUGAAUGAACAACGCGAAAAUAUCUAAGAUAAAAAUAACAGUAACCUCUCGGUAGUGACCACUCUCCGUCCCACAUUAAAAUGGUCGUUGAUGUAGGUGGGUCGUUCUUAGAAGUUACCUCCAUUGACUUCAAAAUUGUUAUCAAAGGUACAUGAUUUAUCGCAAAUGAUAUUAAUUUGUGUCAUUUUCUUGGUGCGGCAAUGCCACUUCUGUUAGCGUCAUGAAAAGACGGAUCGAUGAAUGAAAUUUAGUGGAUAUGAAAUUGAUCCAAACUGAUAUAAAAACGUGUAAAAACAAAUGUACCAAUUUUGUAUGAUCAAGUUAGGUUGAAAUUACAAUUUGUUGAUGAAUGGGACCGUCCUAUAGACAGAAGUGAAGUAUGGGUGUGACAGAAGUCGAAUUCGUUCACCAUAGAUGGCGCCACUGGAAAACAAGAACAAUAACACCCCCUUGCCUUAUUGGUCAACGAGAAGAACAAAUCAUUUUAUUUUUUAUUUGUAGAGCCAAAUAUUAGAUUUUGAGAGCAUAAAAACAUCAUUGAAUGAUAAUGGAAACAUAAAACGUUUACUAAAAUGUGAAAUUUUUACACCAAAUAACUGUAAUAGAUAUCAGAAUUAUUUAACUCAAAUCUCAAUAACUGUUUACUUUAACUAGGAAUUCUAAGAAUGAUCAUUUACCAGGAAUAAUGAAAAAAAUUUCCAAUUGUUUGGAAAAAAAUUACAACUUACCCUGAUUUUUAAAGUCAAAGUAAAAUUCCAUGACAAUUCUAAGUUUUCAGUGUUCUCCCUGACAUUUGAUUGACCCAUUGAACAGAUGAAAGGCUGUGGUCUGAGCCCUGUACAUGAGAGUACCACUCAGCCACCAGUUAAAACAAUGGCAAUAUAACAUUUAUUGAUGUAUUCUUAAAAAUACGUUUUACUUGAUAUACAAAUAUUUAAAGCUAAAUAUGAAAUAUUUAUUUUUUUAUUAAAAAAAAACCAUUCAGAAAAUAUUCCACGUUAUAAGUAUUUUGAUUUGCUACAGCAGUGGUUCCUGAACUUUUUUGUCUCGUGGACCCCUUGCCAUGUUUUUCGGCUUUGGAUAGACCCCCUGCGUAACUGAUAUUGAUUUUUUGUAAAUUCAUCAACUUCAAAUGUAUUUUUGACAGCUGGUAUAGUGCUACUCACUGUAAAAAAUGUAAAUUUCAAACUGUAGUGAAAUGAAGUGUGAAAAACUUAAGUAAAACGCGCAUGUUAACUUUAAACAUUUAUAAAUUAAAUUCAAAUUAAAACGAAACAAAUUAAAAUUUAGUAUCUGUUAUAUAAAAUAACUAAGCAAUAAAUAAAUGUUUUUAGUGGGAAGGAUGAACCUGAUGCUUUAAUAAUAAAUUAUCAACAUUUGGCCAAUUUCAUAUAUCAGAAAAUAAUCCUAAUAACAUAAAUUUUAAUAAAUUGUUUACUUCAUAGCUACUUUUAUAAAUUAUGUAGAAUGUAGAUAGAUAUAUGUGUUUACAUUAUAAGGUAGUAAAAUGUAAGUAAAUAGGUACUAUCAGCGUAUGUUGAUUAUUCCAUUCAUGAAAUGCCAAAAUUAAAGUCACGACCUGCUUAUAUGAGAUCCACUAUCGUUGACCCCUAUUUUCAUUUCAUAGACCAAUUUUUUUUUCACUUGACAUGGAACCCUUUCAGGUUGUCGUCGACCCUUGGGGGUCGACAUAGACCCCUUUGGGAAUCACUGAUUUACAGUAUUAUAGGACAGUUUUGGAAGAAAAUCUCAAGUGAGCUGUCAAAAACCAGUUUAAGACAUCUUCAACCUCCAUGGUAUAAAAAGCUUUUUCUAAAACCCAGAAACAAAUAAUCACUUUUGUAUCCUUUUUUUGUUACAAUAAAAUGAAUGAAUUUAAA